AGGGCGAGGGAUACUAAGGAGUUAGCGCCGGGCGGCAACGCCUGCCGUUCAGUCUUCCUGCAGCUUCCCCGCGGCGCGUUAUUAGCAAAGAGACGCCCGUCCUCACGGGCUGCGGCGGGGCCUGGCUCUGAGGGCUGCGUUCCAGGGCUUCCUCCCCGCCGCGCCCGCGCCUGACAAACCACUCGGCGGCCGGCUGCACAGCUGCGAAAUGGGACAUCCCAGCUCUGUUGUCGUGAGAACUUGCAAGAUUUCCAUUUUUAAAGACACUGAUAAAAGAAUCGUCGCCUCUGCUGCAGACAGGUAAACUAAUCUGCUUUGUGCUGCAGUGAGGGACUUCAGUGACUGCCCACAUGCCACCUUUGGAUUUUCCAGAGAAGUAAUGCCUAACCAUGGCCUAAGAAUUUGCCUAGUCCCAUUCAAACUGCUCUGUGUAGACAAUCCUAUUUUCAGUUGUUGAGAACUUGGUUAAGAUCCCUGAAAAUACAGACAUGGCCAUAGACAUUCAAUAAAGGUAGUAGUGAUAUGAAGGGAAAGUCCCAUUACCAGAACUUGGGUGGGAAUGGGAAACAAUAACUCACUUCUUUUACAUGUCCCCUUCUUUGCGAUCCCAUCCUUUCAUUCUGUGAACAACCUUAGAUAAACUGUUUCUAGACUAGAAGAACUUGGUUUUUGUAGGGUAUACCCCAAGGACUCCAGCUGACACAUUAUUAUGCACCCCUUAGCAGUUUUGAUAACACAGUCACAUUUAUUUUCUUGUAUUUUCAACAAUACAAUGUUGUGAUGUCUGGCUAAGGCAUAUAUUUUAUUAUAUUAUACAGAUGGUAAAACUUAGGCAUGAUAAAUGUUUUAUUCAAGGUUGCAAAACUUAAAAAGGCAAACCCCUCAGUCCUAUUAUGGUUCUCACUUUAACCUUUCCCACUAUGCCACUUUCCAAUACUGUUUGGAAAGUGUGACAAAAACACCUCCAAUCUAAGCCUAAGACUAUGAAGAUGCUUAUAAGAACAUACCUAAACACAAACUGCCUGCACUCACUUUCGGUCCUUUCUACCACUCAUCUGAAAAGUUUUCCUCUGCAGCAAGACAUCAACACAGUACAUUUUCUGCCAGGAGUGAUGUGAUUUUGUGAACCACUUUUCUUUAUUUGGGGUACAUAUUCGUAAGCUGGAAGGUGAAUCAGUUGUCCAGCACUAAUUCUUAGUCCUUCUGGUAAGGUUUCAGCAUUGUUAUUGGCCACUGGACAUAUUAGUAUGGUAAUUUGUCUCACAAUUAAUGAACCAAUAUUGAUGAUAAAGGAUGAUGAUGAUGAACAUGAUGAUAAUUAUUAACCAGACUCCAUUUAUUGAGAGGGAGUGGUAAGGUUCUAGAAGAACAAGUGGGUUGAAAGAUCACUGCGACCAUCUUUGGAAAAUAACAGUGUGUCAGUGUGAGGUAUGAGCAGACACCAAUCUUAUGCUUUUCCCUAUUUCCCCUUUAAAACUGCUCUGUGAACUCAUUCUUCCCUGGGUCUUGAAUAAAAUUUCAUUCCAACCCCA